UCGAUCUCCACUGCUCUCUAGUCUCCCCCAAGAGCGGCAGCACACACAUCGAGCAGUACUACACGCAUUCUGCUAGCUAGCCUGAUUCACAUUUUCAAGCAUGCAGAGCCCGGCAGUGAACAACAACGCCAAGCUCUCGCCCGUGCACCAGGUAGCAAUUAGUGCUGCUGCUGGGGCUCGGCGUGUCUCGGGCGCCGGCAACAACGACCUAGCCGUAGUGCUCCAGCGGCGCCCACAUCGUCCCGUCGGGGCUCUGCUCGCUGUUGCGCCGCCCAACGCCAGUGCCCUUGCUGAAGCCGUGUGUACUACUACGACUGCCAAGAACAACACCAACAACGAGAAGCAGCUGCAGGACGUCAUCAAACUAAGGGAGGACAAAUAUUUUGAGACGGAGAUGACGGUCCAGGACUGCGAGCUUGACAAAUAUGGAGUCGUCAACAAUAGCAUCUACGCCAGUUACAUCGAAAAAGCUCGAGAGGAGCUGCUUCUGAGCCUUGGCAUCAGCACGGGCUUGAUCAUAUGCACCGGCAACUUGUUGGCGCUAUCGGAGCUGAAUCUCAAGUACUACACGCCUCUGAGGCGGGGUGACAAGUUCGUGGUGCGGGUGAGGCUCGUGCGGAUCAAGGGUGUGAGGAUAUUCGCCGAGCACAUCAUCGAGACGAUGCCGGACCGGAAGCUCGUUGUGGAAGCGACGGCCACCGUCGUGUGCCUCAACAAGGACUACCGCCCGACUCGCGUCUUCCCGGAGAUGUCCGACAAGCUGCAACGAUUCUUCUCAACCUAGCUUGGAUCAAUGGCUAGCUAGCUUAUUAGAGUACUCUAUGUGUCAUUUUGGAUCGGUUUGGAACAAAAAGUCGGCGUCCAGAACUCAGUCGGCGAGUCGGCUGGAUUCCCAGAUCAAUAAUUGUCGCCAGAGAAUUUCGUGCAGGGCAAGAACCAACGAAUUUAUUGCAGGUGGUUGCAAUAUGGCCAUCCGGCCGAUGCAUGGGCCAUCAGAAAUGGCCGGCUGUACGUGGCAUGACCAUCAGAAUGGCUGUAAAGGAUAUGCAUGUG